UCCAGGUUUUGGAAGAUUGCGGCGUCGGCCAGUCUGAGGAGGUGUUACUGUGCUAGUCAGCCCGCAGCGUAGCGUAGAGCAUGAACACACAUUGAUCGCCCAUUGUCAAGGCUCUUUGGCGCACAUGGGCGUGGGGUUGUGUGUUUGCUUGGUGGGCUACACUAGCACGUCGAGGGAGAGCUUGAGUUGGACGUAGGGGGUUUGCGACACUGGAAGUCUGUGUGAGCGGAGAACCGAGCUACAACACGACGCGGAAGCACGCCGGAGCAGCUGAUCCGUGGCGCGGAAUUCAUGAAGUACGGAUCCAAUGGCCAGAUGCUUGAUGUCCUUAGUAGUGCUUAUGGGGGUCGAUACGAUGUGGCUGAGGAGGGGGUUCGGGCAUCGGGUAGGCAGUUUGAGGGAGUGGGGGCGUACAGCGAGUUGCUCAUAAACGGGCGGGGUAGACGGGGAGUGCGGAAGCCGAUGCUUAGCAGCCGUAGUAUUGCCAUGAAAAUAUCAAGCAGGUGUUGAGAACGCAUCCAUGGGUCGGGUUGGAAGGCGAGGGUUUUGUUUACAGUUUGUCCCCAGAAGGUGCACACUUGGAAU
rnacentral:lncRNA from 1 species